UACGUAGGGGGCUAGCGUUGUCCGGAUUUAUUGGGCGUAAAGAGCGUGUAGGCGGCCAGGUAGGUCUGCUGUGAAAACUCGAGGCUCAACCUCGAGACGUCGGCGGAAACCAUCUGGCUAGAGUGCGGGAGAGGAGAAUGGAAUUCCUGGUGUAGCGGUGAAAUGCGCAGAUAUCAGGAAGAACACCCGUGGCGAAGGCGGUUCUCUGGAACGCAACUGACGCUGAGACGCGAAAGCGUGGGGAGCAAAUAGG
rnacentral:rRNA from 1 species